UGGAAAGCAGAAAUACUGGAGAUAACUUACUGUGGGAAAAGACCUAAGAAUGUAGGAAAGAGAAAAGGAGGGGAGGGAAGAAGAAAAUUGUGGAGACAAACAUUGUUUCUCAGUAGGAGAGAUGACCCAACAAGAAGCUCUUCUGAACUUCGGGGAAGACACAUGACCCAGUAGUCUGAGGAAAAAGUUGGGCGCCAGGAACUCCUGGACUCUAAUCCUAGUUCUGACACUCCCUUCUCCGGCCCCAG
rnacentral:lncRNA from 1 species